rnacentral:lncRNA from 1 species
AUUAAGGUUUGAGAUUCAUGGUUUAUGUUUAGAGUUUACUGUUUAAGAUUAGAUUUUAGGGUUUAGGGUUUAGAGUUUAGAGUUUAGGGCUUUAGGGUUAAAGGUAUAUGAUUUAGGAUUUAGGGUUUAGGUUCCCUUGUUGCAGCUUAAAAUUCAUAGGAAGCUAUUGUGUCGAUAAGAGUUAAGAACUUCAUGUUUUGGAAUUGGGAUUUAAG